GAUGAACGCUGGCGGCGUGCCUAACACAUGCAAGUCGAGCGAUUCUCUUCGGAGAAGAGCGGCGGACGGGUGAGUAACGCGUGGGUAACCUGCCCUGUACACACGGAUGACAUACCGAAAGGUAUGCUAAUACGAGAUAAUAUGCUUUUAUCGCAUGGUAGAAGUAUCAAAGCUUUUGCGGUACAGGAUGGACCCGCGUCUGAUUAGCUAGUUGGUAAGGUAACGGCUUACCAAGGCGACGAUCAGUAGCCGACCUGAGAGGGUGAUCGGCCACAUUGGAACUGAGACACGGUCCAAACUCCUACGGGAGGCAGCAGUGGGGAAUAUUGCACAAUGGGCGAAAGCCUGAUGCAGCAACGCCGCGUGAGCGAUGAAGGCCUUCGGGUCGUAAAGCUCUGUCCUCAAGGAAGAUAAUGACGGUACUUGAGGAGGAAGCCCCGGCUGACUACGUGCCAGCCGCCGCUGUAA
rnacentral:rRNA from 1 species